rnacentral:rRNA from 1 species
AGAGUUUGAUCAUGGCUCAGAACGAACGCUGGCGGCGUGGAUAAGGCAUGCAAGUCGAGCGAGAAAGCAUUCUUCGGAGUGUUAGUAAAGCGGCAAACGGGUGAGUAACACGUGUGUAACCUGCCGUCGAGUGGGGGACAACACCGGGAAACUGGUGCUAAUACCGCAUAAUGUUAUUGUGUCACCUGGCACGAUAACCAAAGGGGGGCUCUUCUAUCCUCCCGCUUGAUGAGGGGCACGCGUUUGAUUAGCUAGAUGGUGGGGUAACGGCCUACCAUGGCGAUGAUCAAUAGCCGGUCUGAGAGGAUGGCUGGCCACACUGGGAUUGAGAUACGGCCCAGACUCCUACGGGAGGCAGCAGUCUAGAAGCUUCGACAAUGGACGAAAGUCUGAUCGAGCGACGCCGCGUGCAGGACGAAGGUUUUCGGAUCGUAAACUGCUUUCGACAGGGAAAAAUGGUAUAUAGGCUAAUACCUUAUAUAUUUGAUGGUACCUGGAGAAGAAGCCCUGGCUAACUCCGUGCCAGCAGCCGCGGUAAUACGGAGAGGGCAAGCGUUGUUCGGAUUUAUUGGGCGUAAAGCGAGCGCAGGUGGUUUAAUAAGUCGGAUGUUAAAGACCCACGGCUCAACCGGGGGAAUGCGUUCGAAACUGUUAGACUAGAGUGCGGAAGAGGUUAGUGGAAUUCAUGGUGUAGCGGUGAAAUGCGUAGAUAUCAUGAGGAACACCUGUGGCGAAGGCGGCUAACUGGUCCGCUACUGACACUGAGGCUCGAAAGCGUGGGGAGCGAACGGGAUUAGAUACCCCGGUAGUCCACGCCGUAAACGUUGGAUACUAGGUGUAGGGGGAUCUACCCCCUCUGUGCCGCAGCUAACGCAUUAAGUAUCCCGCCUGGGGAGUACGACCGCAAGGUUGAAACUCAAAGGAAUUGACGGGGGCCCGCACAAGCGGUGGAGCAUGCGGAUUAAUUCGAUGCAACGCGAAGAACCUUACCAAGACUUGACAUCACCGCAAGGAACUAUGCUCCUGUAGAAAUAUGGGGGAUUAGGUAGACAGGUGUUGCAUGGCUGUCGUCAGCUCGUGUCGUGAGAUGUUGGGUUAAGUCCCGCAACGAGCGCAACCCCUAUUACUAGUUACCAGCGGUUCGGCCGGGGACUCUAGUGAAACUGCCGGUGUCAAACCGGAGGAAGGUGGGGAUGACGUCAAGUCAUCAUGGCCCUUAUGUCUUGGGCUUCACGCGUGCUACAAUGGCAAGUACAACGGGCUGCAAUACCGCGAGGUGGAGCUAAUCCCUAAAAACUUGCCCCAGUUCGGAUUGCAGGCUGCAACUCGCCUGCAUGAAGUUGGAAUCGCUAGUAAUCGCGUAUCAGCUACGACGCGGUGAAUUCGUUCCCGGGCCUUGUACACACCGCCCGUCACAUGACCCGAGUUGGUUGCUCCCGAAGUCGCUGUCCUAACCCUCGUGGAGGGAGGUGCCGAAGGAGUGGCCGGUAAGGGGGAUGAAGUGAACAAGGUAACC